rnacentral:lncRNA from 1 species
CAGAAGUCUUUGCUGAGACUAACAACUGGACUCGGAGAUAUGUAGGCAGGUGCAGGCCUCCCAGGAGCCAGACCCUCCGCACCAGACUCUGACACCCCAGCAGGACACCUCUGGGGCUCAAGCAGCCUUACUUGAGCAGCUCCUCAGACUCAGCUUCAAGGAGCCAACCAGACUCCCUGGCAGUAAUGUAUCACUUUCUUCUAAACCUUCGUACCACACCACCCCUAGAAAACUGGGCUCUGGGGUGCCGGUCACCCCAGCACCGGUGGGCAAAGCGCUCUGGCCUCAGAGGCAUGCUGCGGACUUCCCUGUUCCUGGAGACUUGACUGGGGUGGCGGGGAUGAAGGGGGGUCAGGUUGGUGUGCGCGUGCUCAGCCCCCAGGCACCAGGGCAGCACCACAGGGAGACUGUCCCCCACCACAGGCGGUGGCCCUGGGCCCCUGUACGGCCAGCCUCAGUAACGUUCCUGGGUAGGUGGCACAAACAAGUCGCUCAAACUCUGACACGUCACUACUGCCUCGAUCUCACACACCCCGCUUCCCCCAGCAAACACACCGCCCCUGCCUCGGGCUCUCCAGGGUCGCCAGGCGGGGCAGGACGCUGCCGCCCCAGGGCCCGAGGUGCUCCGUUGGCAGAAGGCACCCGGGUUGCCGGGCGUCAUACAUUCUGGGGCUGUCGCCUGAUCCUCCGGCGGUCACGUGUGCAAAACUGGAACAGCGUGUGGCUCUCACGUGUUUCGUUCUAUACAAAAGCCUCCCUCCCUCCCCAGCCCUGUGGUUUAAACAUUUAUAUAAAUUUUUAUUUAAACAGUAAGUUAGAAAUCUUAUUUACAUUAACUUCUUUGUUCUCCCAAAAGGGCAUCUAA